UUAUAUUUGACUCGGAGUCUGAUAAUGUGAUUUUGUUGGCCAUGCUACAGUAUUAAGUACAAAUAUACUAUUAUUAGACAACUUUCUUUAUUGACUAGGAUAAUAAAAGUAUAAAAGUUGGAGUAAUUCUUACAUCUUCAUCAUUGAUUGGAGCUGACCAUGGGAAGCCUACAAUCACUAUUAUACAUGGCUAAGUUAAAAAAAGGAUCACAGGACUUUAAUAUAUAGUAGUUUCUUAUCAGAAUCACUAUAAUAUAUAAUUCUACAAUCAACUAAAACGGACAGAGCACAAUAUCAUGUUGUUUUUAAACAAAUUGGUAUUGCACAAGAAGCAGGGUAUUUUACAAAUCAUUACAAAAUUCCUUUAUAAACUCAUCCAGAACAGAUUUCAACUUCUUCAAUGUGUAUAGAACCACU
rnacentral:lncRNA from 1 species